GCCAAUCAAAUUCUUUAUUGCAUAAAAUUUCAUUUGUUUAUUCAUGAAUGAAUUUAUAAAGCACCUACUUGACGAGGAGCCCUGGUAGUCACUAACAGGAACAACCAAAUGUAUUUGACAUGACCUGUACUCUCUAAGAACUCCUAACACAUCUUGUAAGAUAAAUCAUAUACAAAUAGUAACAAGAAGGGGAUAAAGAUUGUUUAUGGGUAAUUGUUCUCUUUACUUAUUCAUUACUUACUCACAAAAUAACUACAAACAAAUCACAAAUCUAAGUCAAGGGGAUAAUCUAAAAAGCUCCUUGAGUUUCUUAGAGAAAGUGUCUAGAUACUAGUAUUAGGACCAUGACAGCUUUGCAAACCUGGUACUUACAUAGCAGCCAUGAUGAUGGCCUGGCAUGUGUUUUUAAAUCUUUGGAGCUGCUUUGUUACCUUCUUUGUGUCCCAUUCUUAUCUUCUCCUAAUCAUGCCCUUACAUUGUCCCAUUAACUUUCAUGUCCCUAAAAUGACUCUGUUGCCCUAGCUUGCCCUUCCUGACCUAGUUAUUCCUUGAAAUUAACUUUAAUCAACAAAUACUAAUAUUGAAAACCUACUCAGUAAAAAGACAACGAAUUUAUAUAUCAAAACUUUUCUUUCCUGAAGGUCAUCCUCUCUUGGAGUUUCCUAAAAAUUCAAUUGCUAAAGCUGUGAUAUUGGUACAAUAUGAAUAGGUGAUAGUGAUUUGAAAGACGGUCAGUACCAAACCAGUGGUACCUUCUAAGAGUGGUCCUCAAUGCUUUAAAUCUGAGUUUCUCAAAGUUUUGUGGAACCUGGAUAGCUCAGUGAGAUGUUUCUUGAGCAAAGAGCUUCCCAUGGUAAAGAAAAAAAAAAAGACGGGGAGGUGGGGAAUCAUGCCUAUAUGUCCUUUAAGAUGAGUAUGAGUAUUUCACAAUCCUACUGUAGAAGAUAUGUUUAACUAUUUUUUUUUUUUUUUUGAGAUGGAGUCUCACUCUGUUGCCCAGGCUGGAGUGCAGUGGUGCGAUCUCGGCUCACGGCAAGCUCCGUCGCCUGGGUUCACGCCAUUCUCCUGCCUCAGCCUCCCACGUAGCUGGUACUACAGGCACCCGCCACCACACCUGGCUAAUUUUUUGUAUUUUUUAGUAGAGACGGGAUUUCACCGUGUUAGCCAGGAUGGUCUCGAUCUCCUGACCUCGUGAUCCGCUCACCUUGGCCUCCCAAAGUGCUGGAAUUACAGGUGUGAGCCACCGCACCCGGCCGAUAUGUUUAACUAUUUAACCCAGUGUUUUCUAAACUUAUUUAGACAUGAUCGUCUCUUGCAAAAUACUUUCAGAAGCCUGCUUUGGGAAAAGCCUGUUCGGGAAAAGCCUGCUUUAAUUGAAAAUAAUUUUACCUCUUCUGUCAGAUCCUUGAAAGAAGGCUAUUUGGAAGUGUAGGUAUUCUAUAUUAAACUACAUAUAAAAUAAUAAAGCAAAAAUCAAUAUGAGGGAGAAUUCAUACUAUUCCUUAGGAAGAUCUAAAUAUGAUUAAUAAUUAAAGUGCUGUCCAGCAAUAAUCAGUUUGAUGCAUCUGUGAGGAUAAUCCUAUUCAUGAAGCAUUAUUAUUAGUGUUUAUUACUAUUGCUACUAGAAAUAAGCAUUUUUAUAUACUAUAAGAUGUUCGCAGUUAGCAGAAAAACACAUUCAGAAGGAAAAAAAACCAGUAUCAUCUCAUAAUUACCCCACCCUGUAUUUGCUUAUUUUCAUGUCUUCAAAUAUAUCUUCUAUUUAAAUCUGAUUAAAGCUAUAGCUGGGAAUGUGCCAGAUGUGUCUGCCAGUUCCAUUGGAAACAUAGCCAAGCCUCAGAUAUAGUCCCUGUCCUCAUGGAGCUCACGGUAUAAGGGAGGAAAAGUGACCCAUAGAUACAUAAUGUCCAUACUGCAUGAGAAGAAAUGCUUUAGAGACAAAACAGAAGGAGAAAGAACAAUGGAAGAAUUAUAGUCUACAUAAAGAAAUCAUCAUGAACAAAAAAAGCAAAGGAGAAAAACUGCUGGAUCAAUGCAGGAAACUGCCCUAGAGGCACUGGCGAUCAACAAUGGAGACAGGUCAACCUGGAGAUGUCAUCAUGGGUCAGUUCAUGAAAGGGCUGACAUGUCACGCUGAAGAGCUGUUUCUCUAUUCUCAGGACCCAGGUCUCCAAAGGGGUGUGCAAUUAUCAGUUCUGGAGGCAGGAAGUCCAAGAUCAGGCAGCUGCUUUUGGUCAGCUUCUGGGUGAGGGCCUCAUGCUGUAUCAUAGCAUGGCGCAAGUGGAAGGGAAACUGGACAUCU
rnacentral:lncRNA from 10 species